GCACAGUUCCCCCCUUCUCUCUAUCUCUCUAUAUGGCUCAGUUUUAAAAAGGGCAAAAUAGUUUUCUCCCUCACACACAAAGUCGCCAGCUUUAUUUAUCAUCACCGCAUCCCAUGUUGAGGUCAUUAUGAUGACGAUUAACAUCAUAAACUAGGGUUCUCCACAAUCUAUCUUAUUACACGUUUCAUUCAAUCCCUUUCUUCUCCACCAAUCACCAAUCACCAUCCCCACCGAUAACAACAGCUUCUGAUUAGCCAAUUCUAUCUCCCAGAUUCUGCUACCAAUCAUGGCGAUAAAGUCGACUUCUGCUGACAACAAAACCAGAAGCUCUGUUCAGAUCUUCAUCGUCUUCAGCCUAUGUUGCUUCUUCUACAUCCUCGGAGCAUGGCAACGAAGCGGCUUCGGCAAAGGAGACAGCAUAGCCCUCCAGAUGACAAACAGUGGAGCUGACUGCAACAUCGUCCCAAGCCUAAACUUCGAGACACACCACGCAGGAGAGUCGAGCAUCUCUGGUUCCUCAGCAAAGGUCAAAACUUUCGAGCCGUGCGAUGCUCUUUACACUGAUUACACUCCCUGCCAAGACCAGAGGCGUGCGAUGACGUUCCCUAGAGACAGCAUGAUUUACCGCGAAAGGCACUGCGCUCCAGAGAGUGAGAAGCUUCGUUGCCUUGUCCCCGCGCCUAAGGGAUACGUUACGCCUUUCUCUUGGCCUAAGAGUAGAGACUAUGUGCCUUAUGCUAAUGCGCCGUAUAAGGCCUUGACUGUUGAGAAGGCGAUUCAGAAUUGGAUUCAGUACGAGGGUGAGGUUUUUAGGUUCCCUGGAGGUGGGACUCAGUUCCCUCAGGGGGCUGAUAAGUAUAUUGAUCAGCUUGCUUCUGUGAUACCCAUGGGGAAUGGUACUGUUAGGACUGCUUUGGACACUGGUUGUGGGGUUGCAAGCUGGGGAGCGUACCUAUGGAGCAGGAAUGUACGUGCAAUGUCUUUUGCACCGAGAGAUUCACACGAGGCUCAGGUUCAGUUUGCGCUAGAGAGAGGUGUUCCUGCUGUUAUUGGUGUUCUUGGUACCAUAAAGCUGCCGUAUCCAACUAGGGCUUUCGACAUGGCUCAUUGCUCAAGAUGUUUGAUUCCAUGGGGAGCAAAUGAUGGUAUGUACUUGAUGGAAGUUGACCGUGUGCUUAGACCUGGUGGGUACUGGAUUCUAUCUGGUCCUCCAAUCAACUGGAAAAUCAACUACAAGGCGUGGCAACGUCCCAAGGAGGAGCUUCAAGAGGAACAAAGAAAGAUUGAGGAAGCUGCUAAGCUUCUUUGUUGGGAGAAGAAGUAUGAACACGGAGAGAUCGCCAUUUGGCAGAAGAGAGUCAAUGAUGAUGCAUGCCGUUCAAGACAAGAUGAUCCUAGAGCCAACUUCUGCAAAACUGAUGACACCGAUGAUGUCUGGUACAAGAAAAUGGAGGCAUGUAUUACACCGUAUCCGGAGACAAGUAGCUCAGAUGAGGUAGCUGGAGGGGAACUUCAGGCUUUCCCUGACAGACUUAACGCAGUGCCUCCUAGGAUCUCUAGCGGUUCCAUCUCUGGUGUCACGGUCGAUGCCUAUGAAGACGAUAACAGACAGUGGAAGAAACAUGUGAAGGCCUAUAAGAGAAUCAACAGUCUACUUGACACAGGAAGGUACCGUAACAUCAUGGACAUGAACGCAGGGUUUGGUGGAUUUGCUGCUGCUAUAGAAUCACAAAAGCUUUGGGUUAUGAAUGUUGUCCCCACCAUUGCUGAAAAGAAUAGACUUGGAGUUGUAUAUGAACGAGGACUCAUUGGAAUCUAUCAUGACUGGUGUGAGGCUUUCUCUACAUACCCAAGAACAUACGACUUAAUCCAUGCCAACCACCUCUUCAGUCUGUACAAGAACAAGUGCAAUGCGGAUGACAUUCUUCUGGAGAUGGAUAGAAUACUCCGUCCAGAAGGAGCAGUUAUAAUCCGAGACGAUGUGGACACAUUGAUCAAGGUGAAGAGAAUCAUAUCUGGAAUGAGAUGGGACUCGAAGCUGGUUGAUCAUGAGGAUGGUCCUUUAGUUAAUGAGAAGGUUUUGAUUGCCGUGAAGCAGUACUGGGUCACCAACUCCACCUCGGCUCAGUGAAGUUUCUUUUAUUUCUUGGUGUGACCUGACAUUUUGAUCAAAUGCACGAAGACUGCAUAAGAUCCAAUUCAAAUGUCGCGUGAGCAAAUGGUCACAACAAUUUCCUCUUUUCAGGUAACACAUCAAGCAACUCUGAGGAGAAUGUUGCACAUAAUCAAAUUAUUUUGCAUCGUUGAAGUAUAUGUUCAGACUAGUAGAGGGAGUAUAAAUAUCAAACAUACCUCU